AUUGAACGCUGGCGGCAUGCUUUACACAUGCAAGUCGAACGGCAGCGCGGGCUUCGGCCUGGCGGCGAGUGGCGAACGGGUGAGUAAUGCAUCGGAGCGUGCCCAGUAGUGGGGAUAGCCCGGCGAAAGCCGGAUUAAUACCGCAUACGACCUGAGGGUGAAAGCGGGGGACCGAAAGGCCUCGCGCUAUUGGAGCGGCCGAUGUCGGAUUAGCUAGUUGGUGGGGUAAAGGCUUACCAAGGCGACGAUCCGUAGCUGGUCUGAGAGGACGACCAGCCACACUGGGACUGAGACACGGCCCAGACUCCUACGGGAGGCAGCAGUGGGGAAUUUUGGACAAUGGGGGCAACCCUGAUCCAGCCAUGCCGCGUGCGGGAAGAAGGCCUUCGGGUUGUAAACCGCUUUUGUUCGGGAAGAAAUCCUCUGGGCUAAUACCCCGGGGGGAUGACGGUACCGGAAGAAUAAGCACCGGCUAACUACGUG
rnacentral:rRNA from 1 species